CCUACGGGUGGCAGCAGUGGGGAAUAUUGGGCAAUGGGCGCAAGCCUGACCCAGCAAUGCCGCGUGAAGGAAGAAGGCUUUCGGGUUGUAAACUUCUUUGACAGGGGAAGAGCAGAAGACGGUACCCUGAAAACAAGCCACGGCUAACUACGUGCCAGCAGCCGCGGUAAUACGUAGGUGGCAAGCGUUGUCCGGAUUUACGGGGGGUAAAGGGCGUGUAGCCGGGAAGGCAAGUCAGAUGUGAAAUCUGGAGGCUCAACCUCCAAAUUGCAUUUGAAACUGCUUUUCUUGAGUACUGGAGGGGCAGACGGAAUUCCUUGUGUAGCGGUGAAAUGCGUAGAGAUAAGGAGGAACACCAGUGGCGAAGGCGGUCUGCUGGACAGCAACUGACGGUGAGGCGCGAAAGCGUGGGGAGCAAACAGGAUUAGAUACCCCUGUAGUC
rnacentral:rRNA from 1 species